AACGAACGCUGGCGGCAGGCCUAACACAUGCAAGUCGAGCGAGCAUUUCGGUGCUAGCGGCGGACGGCUGAGUAACGCGUGGGAACGUGCCCUUUUCUGCGGAAUAGUCCUGGGAAACUGGGGGUAAUACCGCAUACGCCCUUUUGGGGAAAGAUUUAUCGGAGCAGGAUCGGCCCGCGUUGGAUUCGGUAGUUGGUGGGGGAAUGGCCCACCAAGCCGAGGAUGCAUAGCUGGUUGGUGAGGAUGAUCAGCCACACUGGGGGUGCGACACGGCCCAGAAUCCGACGGGAGGGAGGAGAGGGGAAUCUUAGACAAGGGGGGCAACCCUGAUCGCGCCAUGCCGGGUGAGUGAUGAAUGCCGUAGGGUAGUAAAGCUCUUUCAGCUGGGAAGAGAAUGACGGUACCAGCAGAAGAAGCCCCGGCUAACUACGUG
rnacentral:rRNA from 1 species